UUUGUACAGUAAAACAAAGAAAAAAAAUUGGAGUUGUCAUUAUUUAUUAUUUAUUAUGAUAGUAUUUUACUGGUCUGGCUCACUUGAGAUCGAAUCGGUCUGUAUGUGACACCUGAACUCAAAUGUUCUGACAUACCUGAUACUUAAUAUUUUCAGUGUAAUUU